CAGCUGCACGCCAAGGGCAAAAGCAAGGAGAGAGAAAGGAGAGAGAACAGAGCAGUGGAAAGAGCCUGAACCAGCGCAGCCCUGAAGUAAGGGCGGGAGAGGCACCAGCGGUGCCCGUGUGAAGCUGGCAGCAGCACGAUAAAGGAGAGAGCACGGAGGAAGCAAGGGGAGAGAACGGAGCAGUGGAAAGAGCCCGAGCCAGCGCAGCCCUGAAGUAAGGGCGGGUGUCAAUGUGAAGCUGGCAGCUGCACGAUCAAGGAGAGAGCACGGAGCAGGGGAAAGAGCCUGACCAGCCGCCCGUGAGCAGGAGUGUCAGCGCCAGCGAGAGCGCCGUGGGUUCGACCCACACACACACCGACAAGCACCAGCUGGGAACCAAGACAAGAGUGAGGAACGGUGACCAGCGGUGAGCUGCGCGUGCUAUCUGACGACGGAAUCAUCGCGCACCAUCGACGGCGAGCAUCGCGCCAACUCAACCAGCAGUGGAGAGCUGCAACGCCAAGAGGAAUGGCGCAGGCAAGAGCGCCGUGUGUUUAAUACACACACACGCCGGUCCCACCGGCCCUGCUGGGAACCCGAGGCAGAGUGCUGGGCCACCAGCGACGAAUCUCUGGGUGCUUUCCAGCAGUGGGCACACCAUUCAGAAGACACAAGAAGAAAAUUAACUUCAUGUCUCUCCACUUCAGCCCCACCUAUCUUCUAGAAGUUUCUCAAUCCAACUGAACCUACCCUUCCCCCCAUGCUCUUACGUGACUCCUUUGACCUCACUUUUAACACCUUGUUUACUGCCCUAUCUCCAAUUCCACCUGUACUUUACUUAAACCAAUCUUCCCACCCUCUCUUCCACCUUGCUAUUGCUUUUCCCACGCUCCGUUCCAUACGCUCCCCCUCAACAUAAUAACAUCCACAUCGUCUCUCCCCCCCUCCCAUAAACACACAGCCCUCACAUGUCUUCCCAGUGAUAACCAACAGCUGCUCAUAAAAAAACAUGUAAAAGGACUAGGCACACGAGAAGCAAUCUUCUGUCUACAGA